GGUCAAAGUAAUAAGAGUGU
rnacentral:rRNA from 1 species